UACGGGGGGGGGCAAGCGUUUGUUCGGAAUUACUGGGCGUAAAGGGCUCGUAGGCGGCCAACUAAGUCAGACGUGAAAUCCCUCGGCUUAACCGGGGGAACUGCGUGUGAUACUGGAUGGCUUGAGUUUGGGAGAGGGAUGCGGAAUUCCAGGUGUAGCGGUGAAAUGCGUAGAUAUCUGGAGAACACCGGUGGCGAAGGCGGCAUCCUGGACCAAUACUGACGCUGAGGAGCGAAAAGCGUGGGGAGCGAACAGGAUAGAA
rnacentral:rRNA from 1 species